CCUGCCGGAAACAGUCUCUCGCGAUGUCUGGGCCGGCGGCGCUAGCUUCUUAGAGGACCGCGGGUCCUAGCGCGUUGUCCACCCAGUCUUGCUAUUUCCAAGAAGAGAAAACAAGACGCACAAAGGCUGCACUUCCCAUCGUACUGUUAUCAACCCUUCGUUAUGGAAAUCCCAGACAGGACUGACUGUUUCCCCAUCAUGAUCUUGAUGCCCAUUGCUCAUAGAAUCCCUCUUCUCUCUCUUCGGCUGGAUUCCUGGAGCUCGGCCUGGUGUUUGGCUGUGGAUCUCUGCAUCUGCUUCCAUCAGUUACUAGAGAAAGGCUCUAUGAUGACAGGAUAUUCAUUGAUCUGAUUACUAAGCAGCCUACAUAGAACCUUCCGGCACUAUGAAGCACUAUGUAUCAAGGAGAAUGUUUCCUGGUCAGUUCAAGGUGGAGUUCACUAUGUCCCACAUAUAAAGAUAUCCGAGAGGGGAGGUGCAGCCUGGGAAACUAUCACUAGACUACAGAGAUGGAAGCUCCAGAAGAAUUUGUGGGACUUCACAUCAGCUUUCAAGCUCUUCUUCACACAGAAUCACACUCAUAUGACUUCAUGAGGAUGUACUGGAAUGAAUGUGAUCCUUCAAAUUCUUGUGCUGGGUUCCUGAUCUCCAUGGUGAUGGCAUUAAGAGGUUUAAAUAACAGAGACUCAAGAGAUCUUUCCCCCUCUUCUGGUGGACACAGGGAAAUUGUGCCUCUUCAGACAGUAAAUCUGCUGGUACCUUAACGUUGGAACUAUGAUAAGUAAAUUGCUGCAGUUUAUAAAACCACUAGUAAAUUGCAUUGUCUUAUAGCAGUCUGAAAGAACUAAGAUACGUAUUUCUGGUGGUGAAAGUGAGGGACAAAAUUAGCAUGCCACAGGUAGUCACUAACAUAUAUAUUGUUAACUUUCAGAAUUGUCUUUGAUGAAAAUGCUAAGGGAAGACUUCAUAUUAAAUACAAGAAUAAACAACAGAUUAUCAGGUGUUUUAUGUGUAUCUUUGUGUGUGUGUGUGUGUGUGUGUGUGUGUGUGUGUGUGUGUGUGUGUGUGUGUCAUCUUGUUUUAGAAAGCAACCUAUCUAGGGAUCCUCUUUCAGUACAGCAAUUUGGAAAAUAUGGCAUUCUAGUAUUAUUUUUUUUAUCCCACAGGACUGCAAAAGCCCACAUUUAACUUUCUUUUCAGACUUAAGUUGCUCAGGGAGCUCCACUCUGCUUUCUAACACUCCCCCGUUUCCUGAUGAAUGGUCAUUUCCCUUCUUUGCUAAGUCCUAACAGUUUUUCAUGUUCUGCAAUUUUCUCUGUUAUAUAGCCCUAGGCAUAACUGGCCAUAAAGUCACAGACAAUAAUAAAGCCUUAGAUUUGGAAGGAAACAUAGAGAAUAUCCAAUCCACCCCCUCAUUUUAUAGUUAAAGAAAUUUAGUACCCAAGAGGGUAAAUAACUUUUUCAAUGUCAUCCCGUUAAUGUGUAGACUGGUCCAAAGUUGCCAAGGUAAAAAUUUUUUUGUGGGUAAAACUGCAGCUAAAACCAUUUUAAAAUGCAUACAUCGUUCCUUCUGUCUGCUUAAAAUAGCACAGUAAUGCAACCUACACAACCAAGUUUGGAAGCUACUACUUCUAAUCCUGAAAACACUGUUAUAUGAAAAACAGUGAAAUGAGAUAUGAUUUAUAGAUGCUGGUCUUAGGAUUUCUAUUUAAUUCUGGGUUGGCUAGGUCAGUCUAAAGAGAUUUCUUUUCUUAAUGAGUUUUCUAGAGAGUCAAUGGAAAAUAGACAAAUACAAAUACAGAAAACACAUCAACACAAGAAUCUGGCUUAAUAAUAUAUUGUCAUAAUUAAUUUCUGCUACUAUAAUAUCUAACAUUUUAUACCCACUCUUGUGGCAAAUUGACGCUCAGAUAAAAAAUUGUGAAUUACUCUUGGAUUCAGAAUCUAGGGCCAGUAAGCAUCCAGAGUAGCAGCUUCGAAUGCUACAGUAUCAAGGAAGGAUGUCCUGGUUGACAGAUUAAAGACCAGAAAGCUCUAAGACAGGGCUUCUUUAUGGACAUACUCUCUCUUGGGUUAGAAUUGUGCAAGAAAUGUAAGCAAAGACAUUUGAUAUUCAUAAAGAAAGGCCUCCAAACAAGUUUUUUUUAAAGAAUAACUAUUCAGAGAUAUUGUGCUCUGAACAUGUAUGUUCAGAAGUAUGAUCUGUCAGAACUGGAAAGAAUAUCCAAGGUUAUUUAAUAAAGGUGGAAUGUGGUUAAUAUUUGGGAUGUCUCUAUGACACCCCUCCUGGCAAGACUCAGGACUCUAUAUGGAAGAGGGGCAGAAAGAAUGUAAGAGCCAGAGAUGGUGCUUGACUUCAAGAAAAUAGCAGUUUUCAGACACAGCAGGGCAGAUGUACACAAGAACUCACAGAGAUUGACGCUAUGCACAAGACCUGCACAGUCGCAAGCCUGGCAAACUCCCAACAUGGAGGAGGGGAAGUGGCCAUGAAGUUGCACCCACAGCCAGGAAGCUAUUCACAACCGUUAGCUGUUGGCAGAGAAAAAGAUUGUUUUCUUCAAUGUAAUGCUGGAUGUAACAAUGCACUCCAGGGCAGGCCUCAUACUUAGGUUAGUCAGUCAAUACAAAGUGGACUCUAUUCUGUUUUUUUCUUUUCAUUUUUUAAGAGAGAAAGAACAUGAGAUUAGGUGGUAGCAAGGAAGGUGGGGGAUGAUCUUGAAGGAGUUGGAGAGAGGGAAAGAAUAGGAUCAAAAUAUUUUGUAUAAAAUUCCCAAAGAAGAAAAAUAUUAUUAAAAUAAGUCACAUACACACAGAGAAAAAGAGAGACAGAUGGAGAGAAACAAGGAGUGAAACACAAGGAGAGAGAAUGCAACUUGUCUGAGGUCAGACUUGAAGUUAGUAAUGGAGUUUGGACCCCAAGUUGGUACUUGGCCUUCUGGGUUUUAAGCCUGGCUUCUUUGGGUAAACUAGUAUCAAUUUUCUUUAUCAUACACAUAAUGUGGAAGGAUGACCACAGGGUGCCUCUUAUUUUUUUUUUCACCUAUAUGGCACGGCAGAACUAAAAAUACAACAUUUUAUAUUGAAAAUCAAAGGCUAAUCAGAGAAAGAGGCAGAGAUAGAGAGAUAGAUACAGAGUGGAGGGAACAUUCACACAGACAUAUAUGGGGAGGGGAGGAGAUAGGAAUCAGGUAAAAAAAAAAGAGAAGGAGGCACUGAAAUGUAAAAUGAAGAGAACACUGUCUUAGUAUCCCAAGUAUAAGAGCUUUAUCUUCAUAUGGAUCAAACCAGGAAGUGAUGUCAUCAGUAACAAGCACUCUAGUUGGUAUAAUGAGAAGCAGCAAAAAUGAAGACGGGGGCUACAGGGGUGGCGAUUCACUUUCUCACUCCCAUCUACCCCCACUUUGGGACAACAUAUUAAUCCCAUUGACAUCUGCCAAUACUGUCAGUAGUGUUGGCUUUUGAAUGAAGAGCAUAAAAUCCAAUGUGCUGAAGUAGCAAAUAUGGUGUUGGCACUGAUCAACAGUGCUACAGCAAAGUAGUAUUUGUGGUUUGUGAAAAACAGAUAAGCAGAGCAUGGAGUCAUUUCCAUUUUAGGUCUGCAGCAAACAUUUAACCCAAGUCAGGUUUCCCUGUGGUCAAGUAUAAGUAAGAAAGUUAGCUCUUAAUACUUACUACAGCAAAAAUGAUAAAAAAAUUUCCCUGAACUCCAAGAACAGGGAAAUAAAUUAUGUAAUAUUGGUAUGGUAGAACACUGUCAACAUUUAAAAUUAUGGCUUUUGAGAACUGUUAGCAGUAGUUUAGAAAUUUGCAAGGUAAGUGAAAAAGCAUGAUUCAGAAAUUGUAUCUGUUGAGUUGUAUGAAUUUUAUUAAAGGUAUUUUCAUUCACAUCAAACACUUGAAAACAGCAAUCAACUGUCAGUAAUGCCUCUGUUGUUGCUGGUGGCUUGUGAGCUCCUUCCUCCAGGCUGCAGUGUUGACUGCCUUUACUCAAGCUUGUCUUGUGCAAGCAGUCACAGAAUGUAGGUCCUGUCAUGUCCAAAGACAUUGUGUCACUCUGGUCAUCCCUGACUCCUGGCUCUUACCAUCUGUCUGCCCCUCUCUUCUGCAUUGGUUCCCAAGCCUUGUGGGGGUAGGGGUAGUGAUCUUGAUACCCUAAUAGUGGCAUAGCACCCCACAGAUAUUUAUUCUUUGCCCUUUCACUGGUUGUGCAUGUCCAUGUCAGCCACUGGCCACUAUACAAAGAAACUUGUCUGAGGUCUGAGGGGUAAACUGAUUGAUGGGUACAGAGAUAUGAAUCUAGAGGACAAUUUGAUACUUUGUCCAUUUAGUAAAAUAAUAGUAAUAAGUUCACCCUUGGGGCCUGUGAGCUCCCCAUGGGAUAGCUUCUUGGGGAGGAAAAUUCAGUUGUUUUUUUAUUUUAUUUUAGUGUAUGACCCAGUGUAGGUCAAUCGCACUCUGGCAGAUGCCCCUACAUCCAUGUGUAUAUGAGCAGUACAACUUGGAAUUGGUUUGUUAUAAAAAAUUAAAAGAGUACAUGGAAAUUGGGGGGAGUUGGAGAAAUCUGGGGUGGAUCGGGAAAGAGUUAGAGGGAGAAAUAGGAGAGUGAAUAUGAUCAAAAUUCAUUGUAUGCAUGUAUGAAAUUUUCAAAGGAUUAAUAAACAUAUUAUAAUUGAAAAAUACCUGAAAGAAAUACAUCAAAAUGUUGAUUUUUAUUACCUCCAGAUAGUAAUUAGAAGUGAUAUUAACUUUUUCUUUAUGUAGUAUUUUCUGAAUUGUGCUUAAUAAGCAUUAAUUUUACCAUUAGAAAAAUAUAUUUGAGACAGAAGACUAGUGAUUUCUCAUCCAACCCAGGCAGCAUAGUGAGAUUCUAUCUCAAAAAGAAAAAAACCCCAAGCAACCAACCAACACAUCCCAGCUUUGAGAACCAUGUUCUAAAUAACCCAAGUACUCAUGUUAAAGAAAAAUGUUGACAUAUGUUUACAUGAACUGCUUUUGUCUCAGUAAUGAAAGGGUGUGCAAAGAGCAAUUGUCCAUCAUCAAAAGGGCUCAGCAUGUAUGCUACUGCCACUUCAAAACUGUUCCCAUAUGUUGAUCCCAGUGUCCAUCAAAGUCAACUCUAUCUUGAGCAUCACACAUUGUCUUCAUCCACUGUCAGAGUUUUUGUGCCUUCUCUAGGGCCAAGAAAUAUGCAGCUAGAAUCUUUUACUCCAUGGCAUCAAUUCUACCCCCUCUUUUCAGCAGGCAAUCUCUUUCAGCAUGGAAGUUGCUGGUAAAAUUGAAGAGUGUUAAAUAGGUUAUUUGGAAAUAAAAGCAGACUGUCAGUACUGCUGCUUCCGUAGUAAUAUCAGAACCAAGCUUUGGAUCUGGACAGAAAUACACACAAGUAACUACUGCUGCUCUGACUGUGGUGUCAAAUGAUGGUUAUUCAUGAUUUCACUGAAUCCUGUGAUAUCAUAAUGUAUGCUAUUCUUUUUCUCUGUUCUCCUUCCUCCUUUCUUCAUUUGUUUAUUGGAUAUAUGGGAGCACAGGAGGACAACGAACAAGAACAUCCCACUCUCUAAGAGCACAUGGCUAAUGAAUGUUAGAUCUGAAGGUAGAAUUCAGAGACUGAUUCUGAAAUGUGCUUAUAUCAGUCGAGUCCAAUGGCUAUCAGAAUUGUUUAAUAUCAGUUUUACUAAAGAAGAAUUUUAAAAACAUAAAUUCCUAGCUCUCAUCUCUAGAAAUUAUAAAUUUUGUACUUCAGGAAUGGGACCAAAGAAUCAGGUUCAUGACACUCAGUGUUGCUAAACUUCUUCAACUUCUCAGAUAAUUUCUGAGUAACAAAGUGUAGGAAAUUACCUUAGCUGGAGACAUAGGUGAUAUGUGGUUGGGACUAAGGGUCCACGUUCUGGUUCCCAUUUCUCCCACCUCAUGCACAGUCAGUACAGUGGAGCCCCUCAUCAGCUCCACUCACCACUGCCAUCAUCCAUCUGAUUAAUACAGUUUGUGCACAUGUCAAGGGGGGUGGAAGAGGAGAGUACCUAGUGGCACUGGUUGGUGGUGUAGGAAUGCGGCAGACCUGUCAGAAACACUUUCCAGAUUCCGCAUUCUCUAAGGGAUAAUUUUUCUACUGGUAUUUUGAGAUCACAGAAUUAACUACCGACACUAGAACUGCCAUCUCCAAGGUGUUAAUGCUAGAAGUCACCCUCAGCUUCCUAGCGUGACAAGUGUUUAAUAAUAGCUGCUUUAAUGAAGUACCCCAUGAGUCGGUUUCUAGAACAAGCAGUCAAAUAGUGAUAAGAAAGGAAAAGCAAUCAAGCACAAAAGCAAAUGCGAUUUAGCAAGUAAAAAUAUUGGGGGGCAAACACUAAAACAUUCACUUUUUAUCUGAAAUUUGUAUUUAAUGUCUUUGUCUUCUUUUUAUAUCUAACCAUCACAGUGGGAAGCUCCCUUUCUCCCCUUAGUUUUGUUUAAUUAUUCCACAGUGGUGAAAAACUUGCUGUCUAGAAAUAUUGAUUCCAUACCAUCAUUCCUUGAAUACAUAGAAAUUAUCACUUAGUUCUCUAAAAUUACAUUGAUGAACUCAACAGGCACUAUUCAGACAAAGCUGUUUUUUUGGCAUUGGGAGAUUCAGGUGUGAGAUAAGGAGAGAAGCUGAGGAAAUGCUGCCUGGGUCAGAAAGCUCUUCAGAGAACAAAGGCAUAUGUCCUGACACUGAAGCCAGAGAGCAAAAAAUAAAAGAAAUUCUCGGGAGAGUGUAGUGCUUACUGUAGACUAUAGUUCAACAUCUGUUCUCUAGAAUUUAGAAAGAUUUGCAUCUACAAGGGCCAUAGAUUCUUAUCCAGGAUGUGGGUUCAUAUAGCAAAUAGUUUCUCAGUGUAUUUUCCAGCCCCAGGAGUCAAUAAUUUGGUGUACUGAAGUAUGGAUAGCUCUGACACUUUUGCAUUGAAUAUCAGAACAAAUAAGUGGUGGCAUAGUCAUAUAGCUUGAUAACAUGCCAUUUAGACUGCCUGGGGGCUGUAGCAAAGCUAAGCACCAGUGAUAAGAAGGUCCUGGUUUAUUUUAUUGUUAUUUCUCCCCAUUGCUGAGGCACCAAUGGUCACUAAGAAAGACAGGUGUCUUGGCUCAAUCACUUGUAACCAUAUAAGCCACAUGUCAAAUGUGAACUUGACAUUUCCUUAUUUCAGUUACUUAUUUUUUCCAAAGAAGAAUAUAAAACUUCACAAUGUGUGUGUGGGGGUGGGGUGGGGGGAAGAAAAUAGCCCUUGAAUGUAAACUAUGGAAAACAAUGCAAUACACUUGAGAUAGGUGACUUUGAGCAUUCCUUGUAAAGAUAGUGUCAACCAACAAUGAAGAAUAACACUGGUGCAAGGGCCACUGUAGAACAGACACAUUCUAAAUACUGUUAGGAAUAACAGGGCUUACACCUCCGUAGUGAUGGAUGCAGCCAUUAUGUCUGUUUUAGGGAGGAGGGAACCGGAAGAGAGGUCCCACAGUUUGCCUAUGGUCACCCAGGAAGGACAAGGUACCCUUUAAUCUGCUUCUAAUGAAACCCUGAUUUCCUGACUUCAUUUGAGUUUGUUCAAUACUACGUUUCUAGGGAGGACUUAAUCAGUUUUUUGAGAAAACAUGGCAUUCAGUCCCAUUUCAAAUUAGGAAGAAUCUUUGGCUCAAUUCCUUUAGUCUCUAAAAGUCCCUUAGCGCCUUUUCUUGGAUAAUUAGUUGCGAACAAUAUCAAUUAUAUCUAAGUGGGCAAAUUGAAUUACUACAGACGAGCGAUUGAUUUUUUUAAUUAUCAUUGAUUGCUCAGUGGUUAUCUCAGUGUAAAGAUUUGUACAUUCUGAAUCUUUAAUUUAAUUGCUUUAUUAAGGAGUGCAAAGGCUGGCACCACAGUGACAGUGAAGUCCCCUCUGGCCCCUUUCCUCCUCAGUGAUGUGGCAAAAGCCUUCGACAUUCACUAAAAGCCAACAGUCAUGAAACAACAUGGAAUCAUAUAUACCUUUAAUUCUUUCUCAUUUUAGGGGAUUUGUGGGAUUCACAAUAUUCUUGGGAAGGAUUUGGGCUUGCCACAGUGACUCUUUUAUCAAAUAUUAAUAUUUUAAUCCUUAAGUCAAAUUUAUAGUAAGUCCAGUUAAAAUAUAGCCAGCAGGGACUGAUGUGAAUUUAAAAGGCCAGAAGCAGUACUCUCCUCUUUAAAUCUGUCUGACCCUCUGCCUUCCAAUAGUGAUAACUAAGUGUGUGGUUCUCCCUCUCCUUCCCCCUUUCUUCCCGUGUAUCCCUCUGCUUCCCUCCUUUCCUCCUCCCCUUCCUCCUUCCCUCCUCCCCUUCCUCCCUCGCUCUCUCCCCUGUCUUUCUCCCCCUCCUUCUCUCUCAUAUUUUAGACAGACUCUCAUUUAGUUCCCCACUAUGUUUUUAAACUUGUCCUCUUACCUCAGUCUCCAUAGUCAAUCGCAUCUGUUCUGCGUUUUCGCCAAAUCUGUAGCUGCGCUUUAAAGUCCUGUGUAUAAAUCUGAGGAACAUUAAUAUCUCUAAAUAUUAAGAUAGCUGAUACUUAUGGGCAACCAAGAUAUUGGCAUUGUUUUGAUGUGGAAAAAUUGUCUAGGACUAACCCUAUUAGUAAUCCAGUCUGCCGAAAGAGGUACCUAGGGACUUACCAGUUUCAAACAACCAUUUGCUAUUUCUCAUAAGCCCAUGAGUCAGGUAAGCAAGUUCUCUAAUGAGUUUUCUCUAGUCUGUGCUACUCUCAGCUGUUCUGAGUUGGGCUUCCUGAAAUCAGCUGGUGAGUGGGCAGGGAAGUGGCCGGUCUAGGAUGGCUCCAGCUGGGACAAUUUGGCUCUUGCCUAUGGUCCUCAUUCCUUAGCAGCUAGCUCAAAGUUUUCAUAGCAAAGGAAGAGUGUUCCCAACACUUUGUGAGACCCAGCCUAUGAACACACACCACUGUAACUACACAACUCCAGCCUCCAAGGCAAGCUCCCAGACAGCUCAAGGAAGCAUGCAGGACAAGACAUUUGACACCUUGAGUGGAGGAACCACAUAAAUACUUUGUAAGGGUGGUGAAUCUUAGCCAUCUUUUCUCCAUCUGUUUACCAUACUAAUUGAGUAACUUACAUACAUUUAAAUUAACUUACACAACUCCUUCCUCGUAAGUAGAUUUGAAAAUUCAAUUUUCAGGUCAUUGUGUUGUUUAUAUUUUUAUGUAUGCCCAUAAAACAUUUACCUAUAUUUACAUUUUUGUGAUUAGCAAUUAUUUGGAAAAUAUUUAAGAUAUAUUUCUAUUUAUUAAAUAUAUUUGCUAUAUGAACAUUUUCACAGGGAACUAAAGUAAUCCUAAGACAUUUUCAAAGGAAUUGUUGGACUUCUGAGGACCAUUUCAUGCUAUUGGUGCCUGUGUUGCGCUGGAAUUGUUACAUGCUUUCUGACUUAGCCUCCAAAUGAGUAGUUCUCAACCCAUGGGUCGUGACCCCCUGGGGGUUGAACAACCCUUUCACAGGGGUUUGCCUUAAACGAUUCUGCAGAUCAAAUACUUACAUUACAACUCACAACAGUAGUGAAAUUAUAGUUAUGAAGUAGCAGCAAAAUAAUUUUAUGUUUGAGGUCACCACAACAUGAGGAACUGUAUUAAAAGGGUCAAAGUCAUAAAGAAGGUUGAGAACCACUGUUCUAAAGAGUCAAAGUAAGUGAAAAAUUGAGACAGUACAAAUAAAAAACCCAGGUCUUCUGUCCCAUCCUGCAAAAUAAGAGGUAUGUUGUGGCUUUGUAUGGUGUUUUAGCUAGAAUGAACUCAUCUAAAUGACAACGUUAAUUUCUGUAACACUAUUGCUCAUGAUUUUGUUUGGAUUUAGGCAUUUGACUGUAUAAUGAGAAACUUCUGGAUGAUUUUUUCCUCAACAGUACCAAAUAUACAUCUUUGUGGAAGAACAGUCUGAUUUUGGCAUGUAGUUGGCAUGUUUAUAUAUGCUGUGUAACCAGAUGGGCUACACCAUCUGGGUAAUUCCAGAGGUUUGGUUGUAAAGUGUGUAUUUAUGGUUAGGAUGUAGAGAUAAGCUAUCUGAAUUACACAUACUCACUUGGCAAUACCCCUAGAUUCCAACAUCCCUUCUCUAUGUUGGAUCAAGUUCAGGAACAAUUUAAAUAUAUUUUCACAACAUUUUCUAAAUGACUGUAUUGUAAUUCAAUGUUAUAUUUGGCAAACUCAACCUAGAACACAGUAGCUAAUGGUGCAAACUGAUUUUAUUUGCAUACCAUUGUUAACCACUUUCAUGUAGUACUUACCCAAUGUGUCAGAUUAUUAUGAUCUAUUUAAUGACUUAAUGGAUGAGAUACAUUGUUCUUAAAUUCAAUUAUACCCUUUGCACCUCUGAAAUCAAGGUCACGUCAGCAUUUCUAUUAUGUAAGUGUCUGGGUUUAGUAGUUUUAAACUAAGCUAUAAAAGAUAGCUUCCAAAUCAAAUUGUAGUAAUAAUGGUCAGUGCCUAAGGGGCCCAAAUUUAAUAUAGAUAUAAUUUUUAUGCAUCCCCUGCUUCCUAAAAUAUCUUUAAGGAAAAAUUCCCUUAUAGUACAUGCAUAGCAGAUGGAAAGGUUUUCAUUUCCCAUUUACUUUAUAAUGCUAGGCUUUCCUGCCUUGUUGAAUGGCAGCCAUAUCUCAGACCAUCUGGCUUUUAAUCUAUACUCCAGUGUUUACUGAUUGCAUCACCUCAGGCUGUUACUUAACAACUUUAUAUCUCACCUAUUAAAUGGACUAUUAACAGUACCUACUUCUUAGAGUUGUAGUGAGGAUUAGUUAAGAUGCUGUGGGUAUGUGUCUGGGAUCCUAUGUAUGAUUUGCACAACAAGAGUUAGUUGUUUUUGUGAUUAGAUAAGAAAUUUCAUGAGUCCAUUGAACAUCAGAAAAACAUCUGGAAAUCCUAGGCUACUGAGGUGAGACUCAGCAUUCUCAGAUGGUUAUGAAAGAGGCUAUAACUAGGUGACAAUCAUCACUGACAUCAGUAAUUCUUCAGAAAUGAAAAUUUUUAUUACUUAUGAAAUGCCGUGAUAUUAAUAGAUUUUCUUGGGAAGAAAUGAAAUUUCCAGUCGUUUUAGUUAAUUUUUUAGCCCUAGUUAAAAUGAUAUUGUUGGUGAAACACUAGACAGCUCUCAUUACCUGCGCAUUAAUCAUGAGAAUAUAGAUACAUUGCCUCACCCCAGGUGUGGGGACAGAGCCACUUUUUCACUGUUUUUUAAGUUAAUCAACAGAUUUUGUACUGAUCCUGUGCUUACUUUGUUCCUAAAAUGCACACAGAUGAAUUCUACCCUCAGAAGUUGGAAAAUGGCUGAUUCAUUGAUAAGUGAACACGUUUUCCCAUGUACUCACAGAAGAAUCACUACCCUUAGCCAUUGCAACUACAUGCUUCCGCAGGGGACAGAUGGCUGUGGGAGGGAUCCCACACUGAAGCAUGACAAAUGUGGCAUACAUGACUGCACAGAUGCUUCAGAUUCCCCCCAAAGUGAGUACAUGUGUUGGAUGUCACAAGCCCUUGGAAUUUUCAGUAAUAAAUAUAUAUAUUAGAAACUUUCAUGUCAACACAUACUGUCAAACCUUGUAAAUUAUAAUUCUUAACUCAAUUACUUGAAUUUCACCUCAAUUAAAAUUCUUCGGUUCAAUUCAGGUUGAUUUUAAUCAUGUUUUCCAUUCUCUGACAUAAUAUGAUGACACUCUACCACUGUGAUCUGUUGUUUUUACCCUGCCAUUUUACAAAUAGAAUCCUAGACUUAGAAAGUCCUGAAGAACUCAGCUUUGUGACUGAGUUUUGACUGUAUGUGAAAUGACUGUUCAUAUGAAUUCUUUUUACUAGAGAGAAAAUAAUCUCCGAGCUUCCCUGGACAAAAGUAGGAGGCAGAGAAUAUACAAACACAGCAAAGGGAUAAGAAACUAGUGAUGUGGAGAAGGUGAAGGAUAAAGCCUUAUAAACUGAAAUAAGAUUAUUUAGGGGAAUCAUCUAAGUAUAGCUAUAAUUCAUCUGAUAUAUAUAUAUAUAUAUAUAUGUAUACAUAUAUAUAUAUAGUGUGUGUGUUUAUUAAUAUUUUGUUUUAUUUUUGCUUAUACCUAAAAGUGUGUGUGUGUGUGUGUGUGUGUAUGUGUGUGUGUGUGUGAGUGUGUGUGUGUGUGUGUGUGUGUGUGUGUGUGUGUGUGUGUGUAUGUGUACACAUGGGUGUAGAUGCUUGCAGAGUUCAGAAUAGAGCAUUGGAUCCCCGGAGUUGGAGUUACAGCAAUUGUGAGACACCUGAUGUAUGUGCUGAGAACCAAACUCAGGUCCUUUGCAAGAGUAGCAUGUGCUCUCUCAGCUUCCCAGCCAUUUCCCCAGCAUGGGAUUCAAAUAUAUUUUUAAAAGUUGAAAAUGAUCUAUAGCAAAGAAUAAGCAAAGUGGAUGUCAUUAAGAAUUCUGCAUAAUAGAUCAGGUCUGACAUUUUCCUAAAAGUCCUUAUUGCUAUUUAAUAAAUUUCAUUUAGCUAUAUUGACUGAAAAAAUGGCCAACAUGAGCAAUCAUAUUUUUUUCUUAAAAUUGGACUGCAGUUAUCAUUCAGCUGGAAAGAAAAAUGCAGUAGAAUUGUACAAUGGAAUUAGAGUGUCAUGUGUCUAACCAAACAGAUGUACAAAAAACUACCCAGGACACCGGUGGAUAAAGUCCAUAAGACAGGCUUUCCUGAGAAUUGGGCUUUUGAUACUACUAGUUCAUUGGCAUAUUAAUGAAGGAGUUAAUAACUAAUCUUAAUAUUUAUUGGUCAAGAGUGAAUCGCUAUCAACCCACUCAGGUUUAGGUAUGGAAUAAGAUUAAUAAUUUUGUCAAAACUAUAGAAUGCAAACUUUCUAGAGGGGUGAUGACUAACUGGACUUUGAAGAUGUCUUUAGUGCUAUAAUAAGAACAUCUGAUGUUGUGUGGGUCCAGAUUAUUAUUUGAAGGACAAGAUAAUUGCAAUGUAAGAGUCAGAGUAAGAUAUAGCCCUAAACUUCCCAAACUCUUCCAACUCAGGUGGUUCUCUGUGGUGGCCCUGGGUUACAGAUACAUACUUCUAAUACUGUACAUUUUCCAUUGUAUUUUAUCAGUUUGCAUACUGUUAGCUUCUGUGUUUGUUAACACAGUAGGAGAUUCUGUGUCUUUUAUAACACUGAGUGUGGAGCUGUGUAUAACAGUGCACAGUGCAUACAUGUGCAUAGCAAUAUAUAAGAAGACAACAUAAUCAUGAUGCUAUGAUGCUUCUAAUUCCAGGGAUGAAUGAGCUGACAGGCAAAACCAAUGUCACAGACCUGAUUUCUGUUUCUCAAAAACACCUUUUGACAGAUCAAGUUAUUUGAGUAUCAUCCAAAGACAAAACCCUAAGAAAUCUUGAAGUUGGAAAAAUCAUCUACUGCAACUCCAGAUGGUAUUUAAUAGAGAAGUAAGAGCCAGUAACUAUUUUAAAAUAAAAAAAAUUAGGGCUGGAGGGAUGGCUUAGUGGUUAAGAACAUUGGCUGCUCUUCCAGAGGACUUGAGUUCAAUUCUCAGUGCUUACAUGGCACAUCACAAUUGUCUGUAACUCAAAUUCCAAUAGAUCUCACAGACAUACAUGCAGGUCAAAUACCAAUGCACAUAAAAUAAAAGUAAAUUAUUAAAAAAUUAAAUUACAUUUAUGUGCAUGCUUGUGUAUAUGCAUGUUUAUGUGUUUGUGUGUAUGUGUAAAGCUUAGAACAUCUACAGCAAAAAGUUAAUAUCAAUCUGUAAGAAGGAUUAUCAAUGCUUUUUAGUGUCUUCUUUGCAAUUUUUUAUGUUUAAUAAUUUUUACAAUGACCAUAUUUUAUUUAUAUAACCAGGAACAAAUGUAUUUAAAUAAAAACCAAAACACAGGCCAUCUCCACAGCAAACCUAGCAAUGAACUCUUAGGUAUUCCAGUUAUAAACACUUAAGUAAUUGGAAAUAGAGGAUACCAUAUAAAGUAGUCACCAGGGGAUUCACUUUGAAUAAAAAGCCCAAGGAGCUUGUUUCAGAUUGUGUCAACUUUCAUGUUACUAAUAUAAUUAAAGCAAGUAAAUCAGGUGGGCAACAUGCCAGUCACCCUUCACACACACGUCACAACUGUCUGCAUGUUCACUCUCUUCACCUUGCUCAAUUUUUACAGUUUUAAUAUGAAUAUCAAUUCUCUUUUUCAUAAACCCAACCUAUAAAUGCCACAACCCCUUGGAGGGAUUUCCUCAGGCUUCAUUUUAAGCUCCAAAGAAAGGAUGUAAAAGAGACUUUUCUUUUGUAAAGUGGUUCUAUAAUUCUGUCCAGUAUCCAUCAUUUUCAAGGCCAAGUAAUCAUAUUUAAUAGAUCCUAAAUUACAUUCUGUCAGGCAAGGAUUCCCUUGAUGAUAUUAACCAGUAUGGAGGGCUGACAGUGGGAGGCCUGCAACUAUGACAUUGUUCUAUGGCGGGCUCACACAUGUUCCUUUGCAGGAGCUGACCCUACGAAGUCUGCGGUGGUGCAGGACCUCAGCCUCCAUCCAUCUUUAGCCUUCCCGGAAUUACCUAUAAACUCCCCCCACCCCCUGAUUUCCUGUCCUAAAAAUCACUUUUAAAAUUUAAUUACUUGGCACAGUUUUGACCCUCUCCUUUGAGGAAAUUACCAUCAUGAAUUUAUUUUUACAAUCUUACUCCCGCAAGACAGCUAGAGGUGUAAGACUACCUACGCUGUGUCCACGGUGAAGAACUGGAAAGAUAAAAGGGUGAAUAAUGGAGGAAGCUAGAGAGAUGCCCUCAUUGCUUGUGCAGUGUUAUAACAGUGUCACGAAGUCCAAGUCUGUGGACAUUUUCUUGACAGGAAGGUAAGGCCAUGGUGCCAGAAACUAUGCACUUCACAGUCAACGCAGGAAAGGGAAGAAUUGUGAACCAGAUUUCCACUAAGGGAAAGUUCUUAUCACUCUGUGUUGGAGCAUCUUUAUGGGGUUAAUGAUUAUUUAUAAUGAGAUUUUUAUAUCUCAAAGGCAUUAGGGAAUAAAGAUAAGAAGAAAUUAAAACCUCACUCUUUUCACAAAUUAAGCACGUUCAAACUUUUCGAGAUUCAGUGAUCAGAAAACUCAAGCACAGGUCUUUCUGUUAGAGCACAUCUUCUUUCAGAAUCCACAUGCUGAGAGCAUGCUGUGUGGCCAGCCUCUGGUGCUUAUGAGCCUCAAUUCUUCUCAUACUUACUCUGUAGACUGUAGAGGGAUUCUUUCCAGUGUUAUACCAUGAUGCCUGCCUGCAAACAAGCCCCUUCACAUUCCUGAAAUCUGAGGAUGGCUUGGACUCUAAGGAUUUGGAAAACAUUUGUUUUUUGAACGAGCUGUCUCACCACACAGAAUUGGUUGUUAUUUGCUCUGGAAAACAGGACUAAUCCAGUUGCUCCAAAUGUCAAGAUAUAUGGAUUUUGAAGCUCUUGUCUAAAGACACUCUUAAAAUACUGAGUGGUACAGCAGGGCCUAUAUAGAAUAAUAAGUGCGAUGAGCCCAAAUUGGAAGAAAAAAUUGUGAGUAUAUAUUUGUUUUUAUAAUCCGAAGGAUAAAAAUUACUUUACACAGAGUGAUGGAUUCUCUCUGGGCGUUUUCUUCUUUCUCUUCCCCCUGUUUAAGUUCUUGUAUUUGUGGCUUUCCUUUGCUCCUCAUCACAUAUAGUUUUCCUUCUACUCAGAGCUAUGCCUUCUCAUUUAUAUUUCACCUUCAUUCUUUUCUGGUUUUUUAAUGUGCCCAAGGAAAAAAUAUAAAAUAAAUCCAGCCUCCAUGCUUUCCCUUUAAAUGUAAUAAAGCACGGGUGCAGAAACAGAAGGCAGGAAUCGCUUGGUUUCCUGAUUGUUUCUUCUGUCUUUGGGCACCAUUGCCUCCUCCUGAGGCUCUUUCUUACUUCCCCUUUCCAAGGAGUCACUUCCUGCUUUCCGAUAAAUCACCCAGGCUAAGAUUUAAAGCAUGCUUCCAUGUUCUGAUACACUACACUAGUUUCAUUUUCAUAUCCUUCUAACCCAAAUUGGUUUCUCAUUGACAGGGCUCAGCUGCUCCCUCUCUCUCUCUCUGCAUGCUGAAUCACCAGAUGGAAAGUCUCAGUCAAACUAGUAUUAUCAUUUAUUUCCACUGUGGAAAUAUUAAGCAGGUUGGAAUUUGGUGAUUUCUUUUGAUUUUUAAAACAAUAAUACUAUUAUUAGAAUAAAAAUAUUUGACAGUUUUUCUGAGAAUGAAUUUGGAUUUCAAGGGGAGAGAUAAUUUAAAAUCCAAUCAUCAGAUCUCCAGUGAACCUCUGUGAUUCACUGCGCUUGUGAGACCACCCCAGUUUCACUUCUGUUUCUAUGAUGGAAUACCCUGAUAAAAGACAACUUGGAGAAGAAAGAGUAUAUUCAGUUUACAAUUCUAGGUUAUAGUCUAUUAUGGAGGAAGCUGAGACAGCAGGGAUCUGAAGCAGCUGGCCACGUCAUAUGCACAGUUAAGAGGAGAGAGAAAUGAAUGCAUGUAUGCUGCCUGCUUGUUGGUGCUCAGCUCCGUUUCUCCAUUCAGCUUAAGACCCCUUGACUAGGAAAUGGUACCACCUACAGUGGGCUGGGUCUUCUACCAUCAAUUAACUUAAUUAAGACAAUCUCCCAACAGACAUGCACACAGGUUAACCCAACAUAGACAAUCCCUCAUUGAGACUUUCAUAUAAGGUGAUUCUAAGUUGUGUCAAGUUAACAAAGAUAAUCAUCACAAGGGUUCCCCUUCUCCAUGCUCUUAUUUUUUUUUAAGAGACUUACCACUCAUGUUUUAAUAGAGUAAUUUUAAACAAACAUUUCUACUUUCAACCCAUUGAACAAACAAUUACAGCUGGUGGUCACAGUUUAAUUUUUAAUUUUUCAGGGAGUUUUUGCUUCUAUUUAAUCUUCACUAAAACACCAGCCAGUAUGUUAGGUACUAUGUUAGGCAUUGGAGUUCAGAUAAAAAUGCUUCUUGACUCUUACUUCAGAGUCUGGGCAGGAAACUAUGGGAACACAGGUAAUGGUAUUGUGAGUGUCAAUAAAUUUAUAUAAAUGGUACUCAGUAUUUUUUUGUUUUUGUUUUUGUUUUUGUUUUUUACAUACAUAAGAUUCUCCCUCCCUUUGUAGCUGUCAACUGCCAAUAGCUCCUCAGUAAAGGGUAGGGCCAAGAGAGCAUCUUUUUUCAUCUGUGCUGGGAUUUUGGCAAGUUUGAUCUUAAUGCUAAAUUGUAUGGGUAACUACAGCUGUUCACAGCACUCCUCAUUGUCCAGCUCUUUCUGUUUCCUCAUCCAUGAUGUUCCUUUUAGCCUUAGUGGCAUGGGAUGUGGGUUAAUUAAUAUUGAUACCCCAUUGCAGGGCUGACCAUCCAGUCUCAUAUUCUCAGCCCUAUGACCAGUUAUGUAUUUCUCUUAUGACUGCUGCCCACUGCAAAAAGAGGCUUCUCUGACCAAAGUUGAGAGUCAUCCAGGUCAAUGGAUAUAUAAAUGAAUAUAUAAUUAAUAUAUACAUAAAUAUAUAGAAGGUAUUCGACAGCAUGACUAUUUAGCAAAAUAACAAUAUAAAGUUUACUCCAGGGCCUAGAACCCAUAAACCAUGGACUGUUGUUUCAUAAAAUUUGCCCCUGUAGCAUGCCUCAUCUCCAACCAGAAAGUGGUUACUACCACAUAACAGGUGUGCCACUAUGGCACCAGUGGAUAUAUCUUGCCUGAGAGGUCAGUGUUGCAGCAUGCAGGGUCUGGGAGUGUUGGGUGAGAGCAUUGAUGUGUUUCCUCCCAAAGCAGCAUAUAAAACAUCUUAUAGCAUUAGGAAAUCUAGCCAUCAGGGAAGCAGUUUCCUAGUAGGUUUGAGAUUGGUUUCUCGAUGUCCUGAAGCUAAAAUGUGUGGUAGCUGAAGACAGAUUAUAUUGAUCUCUUUCUUUCCAGACUCAAGCACAGGGCUCUGACCAUUACAAUCAAUUAUUCUUCAAUGAUAACUUAAAUAAAAUGGAGAUGUCAUACUUGAAGAACAGUUGGAAUUUACACAUGUUCAUGUAUACUAACUCUAAAAGCAAAAUAACAUGUUACCUUUUGUAAGGACUUCAUCUAAAGAGGUUUUUUUUUGUCUUCAGAGCUGUGUUCCGGGUGUAUUAUAAACAAACCAUUCAAAGCCAAUAUUAAUAACCUUAUAUAUGAUGUACCAGUUCAGACGUAGUGCUUGCAUGGUUUCUGGUAGAUGUUUCUUACUCUUCCCUAUUUUUUUUUUUCUGCUUAGAAAUAAACACAAAAGUGGGCCCAAAUCAAGGGGCAUUGAGGAGUCCCACUCCUUUGCUUACCUGGUCUUCCCACGAUGAUCUAGAAUGAGAUUUACUCUUUUUCUCUUCUUUGUAGGGACUGCUCCUUCUGUGGGGACACAAGCAUAUCUGGAUGAUCUGCUGCUGACAAUAUCCUUCACGGACCCAACAAUUAUCCAGUAAAGACCCCUGGGCAGCAGCUGUUCUGUGCCGAUCUAGAGAGUCUCCUGCACUUUUGUCUGCAGGAGUCUGUAUUGUUCUCCUGCCUUUGGGUCAUGGUUUCUUUUAGCCUUUCUUUCUAGACUGACACCUCCAGUCUUAAAGAAACAUCCUUCUGGCUAGAGUCACUUGUGUGGAUUCCUGAUGCACAACACACUCUGAAAAAACUCACCUUUUCUCAUGAUGCCAUUCUUCAUUCUCUGUUGUUUCCCUUUCACUUCUGGCCAAGACAACAGGAGAAGUCUAGGUGGUCUUUUUUAUGGAAAAGGGAAAGGUUCUCUUCAGAAGACAACCAGUCCUUUCAGGGCAACAAAAUGAUGACUAUGUAAGAGGUUUUUUGUUUGUUUUGUUUUUACCUUUGUUUUUUUUUGUUUGUUUGUUUUGUCUUUUUAAAACUCAACUCUAAAAUGCAUAAAGGAGUCGUUUUUGGAUCCAGAGGCCAAAUGUAAUGUGAGAAGCCAGGAUAAAGUCUUAGGAUUCCUUUUAGCCUUUAUUAUCAAACUCUCUUGCAAUCUGUUUCCUGUAAUGAAAAGAAAGCUGCCGUGCUUCCUCCUUGCUCAUCACUGGCUGUGAUUUUGCUGAUCUAUGGUCGAUGCAUAUGUGCACAACUUUAAAUAAGCUAAGGAUGCCAGUUAAGGUACUAAGAAGAAAGAGAAGAGGCACUCACAAGAAUGUAAGGAGGCCACUUGAAAGGAUGUAGGUUAAGUUUAAGGGACUCGGGGAAGAAGAGUAAAGGACCGCAGGACUGGCAAUGGUUGGGGGUGGGCUUCACCAUCCCUAGGCUUCAAGAGGUUGGAAAAGAGAAGUUACUAGAACCCUAAAAUACAGCUGGUGAAGAACUGGACAUAGUAGAGGCUUCCCCUGUCCCAGAGGGGGGUUACCACUGGCAAUCCUUCCUGAUGUUGAGAGCAGUCUCUGACAUCACUAUGACUCCUCUAUCUUCAUCUCUCUUGCCUGUCUCGUCCAAGAUUCUCCUACUACUUGGAUGAAGCCCAAAUUUGGAGGGGAAGGAAGCAGAGAUGGUACAGUGAGCAAAGGUUGGCGUUUCACAGCUUAGAGCAAGAUGACAAGGUCAAGGAGUGCACCUGGAGGGGUGAUGCCAAAGAUACUUGUCUCACUGGGUAAGUGUCCUCAGCUUGGGUCAGUUUUCAAAGUAAGAGAGUUUUCCUGGGGGCAAAUGUACUAUGUUGGUGAAAUCUCCUAAAAGCCUAUAGAACCAAAAUUUCCCACAAUACUAUUUUUCUAAAAUAGCCAAAUCCUAUAGUAAGUAGAGGAUUUCCUACAGUCUUGGGGUCUCCCAGCAUCUUUGGCUUACAGUUUUCUCCCAAAGCUCUUCAGCCUCCAGCAUCAUGAUCGGGCAGAAGUUGCUCUUGUGGUAGCUGCUUAUGCAAAACUAUGGUUUCCUUGGGGCUGUAUUUGUUUGCAUUCCUUUCAGCAGCUGCGGUGAAACCACAAAUCAACCCCCCCUCCUUUGCUGUCUUUCACUAGAGGUGAACUUUCUUUACAAAACAUCUACUUACUGGUGGCCAUAGGAUGCUUCUCUUCUCCCGUCUGGCACUCCCACCCCUACACACCACGACUUCAUCACUCACCUCCUUUCCUUCAAAAUCCACAGAACAAUGACUGCAGAGAAGACAGCUUUGAAGGAAGCAAAUCAUCAAUGUUGUUAUAUAAUCAGUUCUUUAAAGUCCAUGUCAAGUGGCCGUUUUAGACUUCUCUAAAGAAGAGGCUUGGGAGGGUGUGCCUCCUUCUCGGCACGGUGGGGUGGUACAGUUUCUUGCCACAGCUGCUGUAGAAUAAUUACAGCACGACUGUGUGGCCCUCUACAGACAUCUGCUCUGUGAGGGGAACCAAAGCCCUUGCCAGAGGGCUGUCGGCUCCAUGCUGAACACACAUGCCAGGCCUCAGAAAGAGCAUGAUUAAACCCAGGAAGGAGAUUAACACCAGUGCUCACCCCUUGUUAGGGACCAAGGUGAGAAGUGCUUUGGAACCUGCCCUCACACUCCCUUGCAGAGGUAAGUUUUGAAAACCUGAGCCACACUGUGAAACCAAGAGUUUCUGCAUCAUGUGCUGAACAGCAUGUUUGCUGUGGGGGCCUGGGAAAGGUGUUGACUGUGAUGUGACAAUCCCUUAGGAAUGUAGUGACAGCAUCACGUCCUUUUUUACCAGGUUCCUGGGGCAUAUCUUUCUGUCCCACAGAGCCCUGUGCAUGGUGGGACAGCUGAGGGCCAAGUGCAGUAAUGGAUGCCAGAGUUUCUGUAGACUGUAAAGCACGCCCCCCCACAACACUCUGAUCGCAUCAGCCUUUGUUGAUGGACAAGCUUUGCCAAGAGCCCCCAGGGAGCUUCAGAAAACAGAAGAAAAUUAUAAAGAUUAAUUUCAUACUUUAGAUAAAAUUUAAAUUCAUUUAUCUGUAAUUUAAUAUGUUAAACAUAUUUAAAGUAUCUUAGAAAUCCACUGAACUUUGCACUGAAUACCUUAUAUAAUUUUUAAUCCUUCUAAGAAUCCUAUGAAAGAGUCAUUAUCCCCACCACCCCCAGAGUCCAUUUCCUUAAUGUGAGAGUCCUGUUCUCUCUUGGUAGUGACUCACAGCUAAUGAAAGUAGAUGGGGCAGUGUAAAUUGCCAGGGCUGGCUCUCUAGAAUGGGCCUGCUGUUUUGUACAUCUACAUAAAUCCUACAGGACGAGGUGCUCAAACUUCUUUAUUCAGGGCUGGAAAGAGCCACACAGAGCUGGAAGACAUACUCCAGCAUCCAAAAUAGUCAGAGAAGUGGGGGCUCAACUCUACUGAAGAACACACAGUACAAGUUCAUAUACUUUCCCUGGGAAACAAGAAAGUUUAUAGAUAGUGUCAAAAUACCUCUAUUUUUUAAUAUCAAAUGUGUUAUAUUUGUCAUAAAAUCAUAUGAUAUAUAAAAAAUAUCACAUAUUUACAUAGGUUAAAAUAAUUUUAAAGCACAUUUUUGUAUUUACAGUCUCUCCCUUUAUUACUACAUUUUCAUUUAAUGGUCUUUGUGUAUGCAUAUAGUGUAUGUGUAUGCAUGCACAUGUAUGUGGGUAAACUUGCCCAUGUGUGUAUCUGUAGAGAUCAGAGGUUGACACUGAUGUCUUCCUCUACUACUUUCUAUUUUAAUUUUUGAGAUGAGGUCUAUUUCUCAACUUCGAGCUCCCUGUUUAUGUUAGGCUGUCCAGCCAGGCAGGGCCCUGUGGAUCCACCUAUCUCUACAGAACCCCCUCAUACAGACACAGUGUCACACCCAGCUUCUCCAUGAGUUCAGGGAAUCAGAACUCAGGUCUUCCUUCUUUUGCCACAAGCACUUGGUCUACUAUGCCAUCUCUCCAGUCUCCUCAUUUCGUUUUGUUUGUUCUCAAGAAUGAAAGUUUCCAAAGCAUUUGUCUUUUACUUUCCAUUGAGUUAAAUGUAUUUAUUUUAAAGUGAAAGGACAGUUCACCUUUUUACCAACUCAACCUGUAUUUAUCAGAUUCAUUAACGUCCAUAGAUUACCCAUGAUGCUUUGGUAUCCAAGAGAAACUAUUCAUCAAGGGGUAUUGUUCCUUCAAGAUGUGCUUAUAGAAUCGGAAACAAGAUUUGUUUUCACUCCCUGAUAGUGGAUAAAUUCGAAUUACACUAGCUAAAGAAGAAAUUUCUCUUUAUUCGUCAAAUGGAAGUGCUCAGAGAUUUCAAAGAAAUCAAUUUUCUAGUUUUUGAGUCCUCUUAUCCAUAAGUACAAUACUGUUUGAUGGCAUUGUCAUCCUCGUGAGGCAGUAACGAAAACUGCAGCAUUUCUCCCUAAAUGUUCUUGAAACGACUUGGUGGACAGAUAGAUUCUAAGUCUGGCUCAAAGCUUUAUUGCAAACUAACCACGGGGGUGAGGCCUUUAUGUGCACCACUUCGGGAUUCUCUGUGGGGAUCCAGUAGGAAAAGUGAAUGUUAAUCUUUGUUAAACUGGCUACAAGAAAAAAUACUGUCGGCUUAAAGGCUAUUAGGCUGGCCAGCCAGCUGGGUGGGUAACCCUGGCUUCCCAGAAGUCCUUAAUCUCAUUUAGAUCCAUCAGAAGUGUGUUCAAGCUUUCAAACAGCAAUGCCAAUUACUUCCCAGAGGAGCUGGUGAAUUAUACCACAUAAAAAGUUUGGCCCUGAGACCAGGUAGAGAACAAUUUUUGUUCUCUGUGUGAUUAUAACUUAUGUCAAAAGGUAUCAUCCAUUUUGGGGGUUUUUAAAUAAUAAUUUUAAUCUAACAUUUGAUUUAAGGUGGCUUGCCCUUCUGAAAUAAAGCUAUGAAAUGCUUAAAAGUAUCUUCCAAACUUUCUGCUUCUUGACAGAAAUGCAGUAGUUUUGAGGAGUUGGCGCUAACAUGAACUAAUUUCCAAACAAACCCCCAGAGUCCCCUGGCAGUUACAGGAAACACAUAGUAAAGUGUACCAUGGGCAGACAGUAAGCAUCAUCUAGGCUGGGAGGAACACUAAAGUGUCUUAAUCCUAAUUCCUUCAACAAGCAAACUACAAAGAGUGGGAGGAAAGGAGAAGGGGGAGGAAGAGAGACAGCGCCUAGAUUAACACUUGAAAAUCUUGCCACUCAAUUAUGGUAUGUGGAUUUAUUUGGAUCCAUAUUCUAACAAAUACAUUAUGAAAAGAAAACUAGGCUGUUCAUAAAGCAGCUGAAAAUUAGUGCUCUCAUUGAUUAUUUCACAUUAAUAGUUUGUUGCUUAUUUUUAAAAUGUAGUGAUGCUGGGUUUGUGUGUAAAGAGCCAGUUUUUGUAUUUAAACUAUAGGUAUACAAUGAAAAAUAUGCAGAUGAAAUGAUACGUUGUCUGAGUUUUCUUCAAAAUGAUAUUUGAGGGAGAGAAGUGGGUUGGAAUAAUGAUGAAUCCUAAUCAGCCUGAAUUGGCAAUUACUGAAGUUGGGUUAUGAAUGUUUGAGAGGUAUUUAUCUAUUUAUUUAUUUAUUUAUUUAUUUAUUCAUUCAUUCAUUCAUUCAGUUUUACAAGUCUGCCUGCAUUUAUAUUUGCUAGAAACCCUCAAUAGAAAAUCUAAACAAAACUAGACCAUCAGAAAUGAGUCUUUGGGCUGUUGGUAACUUCACUGGUUCUCUGCCCAAUUGUUUUAGAGCUGGCAGCCCCAUGAGGCCUGGUCACAAAAAGCAGGUGCCACAGAAUCAACCCCCACUGCAGUCCACAUGCAGAUGUCAUGCUAGCAGGUAGUGUAAAGUAACUGUAUCCUUUGGAGCACAGCGUAAAGAAAGAAAGCAAUCAUAAUGAGGCACAAAGAAACACCCCCAGCUCAUGUGUUGCUGGGGGAAGGGGGCAUUUAUCUUUCUUUUGGAAAUAAAAACUCGAUGGUAUUUGUUAACUGUGGAUAGGAAGGAGAGGGAUAAUUAGAAAAGAACAUGGUCCCACAUUUGUCUGAGAGCAGAAUAGUUCUUCCACAGGCUGAACCAUAUCAGGGCCUCUUCUGGGAAGAAGUCAGCAGUUCCUUAGUACUGCCCAGAUGUUACUGAGGACCAGAGCCACAGCUUCCACAGGCCAUAGUGAUUCAUUGCUCUUCUUGGGUUCUUUCUGAUAACAUCUCCUUUGCAGUCUCUUCUUCCCCCCUUUCCUUUUCUUCUCCAUAGAUGUUUGGCUAAAGAGAGAAUUCAUUGUUUUGGCUUACUCAGAGGUCUGAAAUAAGACUCUGGAAUUUCUUACAAUCAAUUUUUCUGAUGACUUAUUUUUUCCCCCAUAGCCAAGACACCAUAAAAGCUCACCACUCACGAUAAAAGCAUGAGGUCCUAAUUUUAGUAGCCCCGGGGAGAUGAUGGCAGAGAGAAAGGAAUACAGAGGGCUAGGGCCCAGUGAGAAGGCGAGGCUGGGGUUUAGAGGAACACGGCAAAGGGAGUUGCUGUGCUUGGCUGUCGAUGUAGGAUCCUUUCUUGAUCUGUCUCCUUUUUGUUCCAUUCCUUCAUCUUCCAGAUAGAUGACAUCUCUGUUCCUGUACUUGUGUCCCUUACAGCCUCUUACUCUUUUAUAUCCACAUUUACUUCAUCUACAAGUCCUGCUGGUGACAUUCAAUAUCAGUCAUAACCCAAUGACUCCUUACUACUGCCGUAACCAGAACACUGUUUCAGCCACCAACUCUGGCUCAGGUGACUAUAACAGUUUCCAAAUCCGUCUUCCACCCUUGACUCCUUUAGUCUCUUCUCAACUGAAGAGCCAAACAAUCCCUCAACAACACAAGUUAGAAUCUCUCUCUUCUCUUUGCUCAGGAGCACGGAAUGUCUUUCCAGUUUACUCCAAGCAAGAGCUAACACUGUCCUGCUGGGCUACGGGCUUGCACAGCCUACUUCCCUUGCCCAGUGUGCCUCUCUUCAGCUUUCUCUUCACUCAUUCCCACUGCAGUCACCCAAUUCACAAGACUGAGCAUUGACUGCUCCCUCUGUCUGUGUUCCUGCCCUCCACACAGGGCCAUGGCUCCUUCCACCACUCCAACAUCUCCUUUACAACUUAGAGUUAAAGCUUCCCAGUGGAGUCAUUUUGGCUCCUCUAUUUAAGCAAUUACCACCUUCCCUUGAGCCCUCUGUGCCCCCCUUCUCUGCUUCUCUCUGUGCUUGCUUGUUACCAAACACAGUGCACAGCAUUUUAUUUAUUGUCCUUGUCCCAAGUGGUUCCCCUGGGGCUUAGGCAGAGAUUUCAUUUCUUUUGUUUGCUGGGAAAUCCCCAAAGCUUCAAAAAUAUUUGUUCCGGCAGUGAAUAAAUUCCUCAAACUUUAAUAAUUCCUGGCAUUCAGAACACUCUUGGGUGAGUGGUGCUUCGGGUGAAUGGAACAAAGUGUCUGUGUGCUGGAGAGACAGCCGCUGGUUUUGAGCAAGGACAUGGUGAACUAAUCCUAAGAGAUUAGUGGAAACAGACAUUUACACAGGUGACAGUGGGACCGAAGCUGCUGGGAAGACUUAGGUAGCCUUCUUAGCCUGCCAUACAGCUUGCACUGUUUUAUUUGGGGACUAGAGUAAUAAGGAUGGUCAUCGAAGUUCAGAACUACUCAGGGGCAUUUGGUUACUUUAAAAAUUGAAAUUGUAUUUUGAGAAGCAAGAAACAUGUAAAAAUUCUGGAUAUUAAUACAUCUUGUAUUUUUGUAUCUCAUUCAUGGGAUAUAUUUAAGUAUUUGAAUUAGACAAUUGAGCUCCUAAGUGUGGGGAGCAGAUGAGUCCUGAGUGAAUGUAUAGUGUUGACAUAAGCAUAGUCAUGUCAAGGAUGCCAGUACCUCAGACCCAUAAGAAUGGCAAAGCCUUCCUUCCCCUGGUCUGAGUACAGACAUCGACAAACAGUUGAACUUUAUCUAAAAACAGUAUGUGAAGAAAGUACCAGCAGAUUUUUCAUCUUGGAAGACUGAAGCCUGAGAUCACUCUCCUAAAGAGAUCCCCUCCCUACUGAGAUUAGCUGACCCAUCUUAUCCUAGUUAGGGCUGUGUAUUGUGUAUAACAAUGCCCUGAGUUUAUGGGCUGUUGCUGGUACAUCUCCAUCUGAAUUCACAGCCCCCUUCCCAGGUUUACAUUACUUGUGUCUGUCAUUUCUUCAUUCUUCAUCAUCCCAGUCAGCUCAAGUACAAAGUCACACGGGCCAUGACACCUAAGUAGCUUAAACAGGGCCGAGAAAAAUCAGCUCUUUAGCCCAGACACCUUUAUCAUAAGCAGUUACCAGUUGAAACUGGAGGCUGAGGAAGGUGUGGGCAGUGUCAGGUCUUACCCUGUGCUUUGGCCACUUCUUUAGGAGUCACAAAGAAACGGAGCCAGUGAGGAGGUAAGAGUGAAGGCUGAGGAGGCUGAGCACACAAUCCCUAGGUUAAUGCUCAUUUCUAUGUUGACCCAAUUGGACCAGACUAUAGCAGAUGUCAUGGAAAUGGUUAGUCUAAUUGCACUGAGAUAAAGAUACCAUUUAUGUGGGAAGAAAAACACAUCUAAUGUUUUGUGGAAACAACUUAUAAUCCCUGUCUUUAUCCAGGCCAUUUUGUUAAUCAUCCUAUGAUCAAGACAACAUCUGUAAGCCCUCUUCCUGUCUCCCAUUCUAGUAAUCUUUCAUCCCAUGGACUGCCAUUUUUCAGGAAGCUUGCUGCUCCAACUGCUCUACAUCUUUUGAGUCUUCUUUGAAGUUUAUUUUUGUUUUGUAUAAAAGUAUUGAGGUCCUUAUUCUCUCGGUCCAGCGAUGCUUUCUCGGUCCAGCGAUGCUGCUGAGGAAACCUAACAAUGGGUGCAGAAGAGAAAAGACUUCAUUGACUGUUUUUUUGUUGCUGUCAGAGAAACAGACAUCCAUGUUAGGAUAAUGUGGUUGUAUGGCUUAGAUAGCACAGAGGGAAAGCCCAAGCUCAUCCUCCAGGGAUUUUGCCAAGUUCUCAUAAUUCUCAGAAGGUGUCUGAGGACCAUAUAUACUCAAGAGAACAUUGGCAAUAAUGGUUAUGUGGAUGGAAAGUGUGUAACAUGUGAGACAUGUGCCACCCGUGUGCCUUUGCGUUUCAUUCUGUACAUCAUGGGAGGCCAAUGGAAAGAAAAAUCACAAUCACACUAUAGAUGAGGACAGCACUGGUCUGGAACCCAAAUCAGUUAGGAGGCAGAACUCUAGCAAGAAAACCAGCCAGGGUGGAGUUGAGGCUUCUUGGUAUCAAAGGAGCUUCUGAGCUCUGCUAAGCCUCAGCAGAAACAAGAGACCAUGUGUAAGUAACACACCAGCAAACCAAGAAGGCAAGUGUAAGUAGUGAACAAAUUACAAUGUCUUACAGAGCAGGGAGUUAAAGGUUCAUGAUCUGUGAGGCUCCUGACCCCGUGCGCCAUAAAAUUGCUAUGUUUCAUGGCAAACCACCCAUACCACAUGCAUUUUUAUAUUCAGAAGACACCUAGAAGAAGAUCCUAAGAGCAAGGCAGCAGAAGCCUAUGAAAUCACCACGUUUCAUCCAGAGAUACAGAGCACUAAAUAAAGGGACUCCAAAUGGUUGCUUUGGACUAGUUUUAAACUAGAUCAGUCCUAAAUUAUUUUUCCCUUUGCUAUUCAGCAUUCAGGGACUCUAAGAACAUCUGUCUUAUAUAUCUCAAACUACCAAUCUUCAGUGUUCACUUAUCUGGUAAAAAAAAAAAAGGAGUAUCGAAGAAUGUGUAUAGUUGGUUCUAAAUUGAGGAUUUAUACAAAUCUCUAAUAAAAACAUUUGGGAAACAAUGACAUCUGCAUUGAACAUGUGCAGAUAUUUUUCUUGUCAUUACUCUAAACAACAUAGUAUAAAUAACCAUUUGUACAAUAUUCUUAAUAUAUUCGGUAUUUCAAGUAAUCUAGGAGUGACUUGAAGCACAUGAGAGGUUGUAUAUAGGUUACAUGAAAAUAUUCCAUCAUUUACAUAAGGAACUAGAGCAUCCAUGGAUUUUAGAUCCCUUAUACAUAAUGAAUCUGGUCCUAUGGACAGUGGGGAAGAAAUAUGAAUCACUGAUUAUAUACAACACCACUGGGUCAAAUCAGAGCAGCCCUUACAAACUUCUUACCAUUUUAGUAUAGUGGAGAGAGAGUGGGCUUUCUGUCUCAGACUGAUCUACAUUUGGACCUGGCUCUUCUUCCUCCCUAUGGGCGUUUGGGUGAAUUAACUCACAUCUUUGAGGCAUGGCAGUCCGCAAAUGGAUUUAAUGAAUCCCAAAGGACUACUCUGAAAUUAACUGGCAUCUCAAUGCAGAGUGCCCUGGGUAGGGCUUGUUACAGCACUAGAAUAUAGCAACAAAUGCUCAAGCAAACAUCAGUUUAUUUUCUCAUACCAAGGAAUAUGAACACUGAUCAACAAAUGAUAAACUGUUUCCCAAGUUGACUUAGUGUUUGGUAGAAUACCCAAAUUAAAGUAUUGACAUUUAAGGAAGACAUAUUAAUUUUAUUUUAAUUCUAGUUGCAUUUAUAGCUUACAUAUAGGAUGUCUUUGUGAAUCUUCAUUUGUAACUAGAUAAGGCUAAUGGUCCAAAACGAGUUGUAUGGUUAGUGCUAAUGACGAAUCCUAAACCACAGGUUCUGUGCCUGGGAAAGGACUGGUCAUUUGGCUCACCCACUUGAUUCUGCAUGUCUCUAUCACAUGGAGAGAGCAUGAGGUAGUCCUUAAAUUUGACCCUUCAAAUGCAUCUACUCUCCAUGUUGUGGUUGGGGUAUGACCAAAGGGCAAGGGAUUCUGAGUAGAACAGCCAAGUCCUUAGGGUCAUUCAGAUGCCCUGAUGACUCAGCCAGGAUGGGCUUGAAGGGUGACAUCUGCUUGAAGCUGUGCUGGGGGCAUGUUUAAAGGGAGCCAUUCUUUUCUAGAAGAUAUGAUAUAUCUUGAAUGACUGAAUUGGGCAACAAGCAUGUGAGAGAAAUUCUGCCAUAUCUUGUUGAUUGAGAAAGCCGGCCAACAAAUCCCUUUUGUUUCAACUGGUCCAAGCAACUCAAAGAGAAAGAAAGGGCCAUUGGAUAGUUGAGAGAAACAGAUUCAAUAAAUUGUAUAUUCAACUUCUAAAUUUAUUUUUAUUAUUUUAUAUGUUCGGAUGUUUUUUCCUGAAUGUAUGUCUGUGUGCCAUGCAUGUGCCUGGUGCCCACAGAGGCCAGAAGAAAGUAUUGGAUUCCCUGGAACUGGAGUUAUAGAUGGUCUUAAGCUGUCACGUGGGCACUGAUAAUCAAACCUGGUUUCUCCGGAAGAAUAGCCAAGACUCUUAACACUGAGCCAUCUUUCUAGCCUCUAAAUUCCAGAAGUGGACAGUAUGCUAGUGAACUGGCUGACUGCAAAGGAGGGGGACCACCUGAACCCUACGCUUCUCUCUGCAAUCUACAGCAGUCAAAGGGUGCCACUCUGGACAGAAAAUGGAGUGUCUCUCUGCUGUUUAUUAUUAUUUCUUGAAAGUUUUGAACAACAUGGCAAAAGAUCUGACAAGGUUUUGCUCCAGAUGCACAGAAUUUCCUAGAAGAAAUAAGAGUGAAAACGCUUCCCGGCCAUCUGUCCUGAUCUCACACUGCACUUUCAGAAUUUCUCUCUGGUUCUCAUCCUGCAGAGGCACAUCCUGACAGACUGCAGACAAGUCUCCCCGCUGAUUAAAUCAAAAGGCAACAAGAGAAUCACUCAAAAUAGGGCUGGGCAGGACCGAGGACUGAAGGAGCAAGAACGAGAUGCUAAUUCUACCCAACCAACAGCUCAGGAGGUACAGAGAGGAAAAAAAGAGGAAAAGUAAAUGACCUACUAACAGUGUUUCAUCUUGGUCUAUUUUCAGAAGCUUGUAGAAUUUAAAACAAGAUGCUUUGAAAAUAUAGAAUGUACUUUAUUAAAAAAAAUAGACUACUAGCUGGUUAUCAUGUACCCAUUUAGCACAAUCCCUAUUUUUCAGAGGCAAAGGGUUAACAGCACAGAUGAACUAAACCCUCACAUACCCAAAACAAAGAUUUCAUUUGCUCUUUAGUCUUAUUUUUCCCCCCAACCACGCUGUAAGGAAGAAAACCACGUCAAUUUAAAUUUUAGCAUCUCUUCUUUCUGUAUGUUUGAAUUUAAGCAUCUCUUCCUCCUGUAUGUUUAAUGAGUUUAUGAAUAACUAUUAGCCAAAACAAGGAAAGGGAGGAUCACAGAGGUCUGGUAAAUAGUCUCCAUUGGUGAAGUAAAACAUGAGAGAGAGAGAGAGAGAGAGAGAGAGAGAGAGAGAGAGAGAGAGAGAGAGAGAGAGAGAGAGAGAGAGAGAGAGAGAGAGAUAGAGAUAGAGUGAGUUCUGAAAGGGUCUACGAAGUGAUUCAGAAUUGACUAGUACCUUAUCAAACCCACCACAAACCCUUUAGUGUAAUAGUGGGGAAUUCAGGGAAUCCACUUUUCAAGAAUGGAGCAUGCACAGAGACAGAAGCCACCAAGGGACAAUUGCAUUGAUUCCUCAUAGAAGACAAUGAAAAUCACCAGGAAGUAUUAUUUCUUCCCAGAUGGUUUUCCUGUGCCGUCAGUGAGAGCCUGAGACACUUUGAGUUGAUUUUGUUCCUUAAAAUCUUACAGUAAAUGACUCUGAUCCUAACUCCCUUUGUUUUUUCUACUGCUGUUCGCUCUUUUCUAGGAUAGAAAAACAGCAACCAAUUCAGGAAAAGGUAACAAGGAGGAGAAUGUGGUUAAGGAAGCUGGAUGGCUUCUCCUCUCACACCCUUUUGCAGUUAUUUUUAUUUCACAAUAUCAGAGUUUGCAGAAUGAAUGUAGACUCUUCAGGAUCUUUACAAAAUAGACAUUUUUUCCUACCAACCAUUACAAUUCAACUAUGAACCAUUUUUUUACCCCUGGAAAUCAAUACAUGUGUAUUUCAGGUCCUUGUCCAAGGAUGAUGUUUGUUAAAUAAUCAUAUCAAGUUCCUUGCUGUAUAGGCAGGUUCUGUCUCCUGAUUUCAAUAAAAAGGGUGCAUGCCUUUCUUAUUCCAAAAGAUAGUUAUUCUGCAAUAGACAGAAGAAAAUGAUUUGUAAUAGGGAAACAGAAAAUCAUUGUUUCUUCUGGGCUGGCACUUUGUCUAGAGUUUAUCUUUAAAGGGUGAAUUGGUGGUUUAUACCUUCCUGAUUUUUUCCUUUGGCCUCACACAUGUUGUUCCUCUUCUGUAAAAAAAGAAUAUGUUGUGACAAGCCACAAAAAGAAUAGAAUUGAUCCAUGGCAAGAGUAUUUUAGAACACCUCCCCUUGCCUCAUUAGUUGUAAAGGCAAAAAGGCCUGCUUUUAAAGAUGAGAGUGAGGUCAAAGCUUAGAGAAGUUUGCUCUACCCAUUUGGAAUAAAGAUAAGAUAAUUCAUUAGUAGGAGAACUUGAAAAUGUUCAAUAAAGCAUUGUUUUCAA